AGUGAACGCUGGCGGUAGGCCUAACACAUGCCAGUCGAACGGCAGCACAGUAAGAGCUUGCUCUUACGGGUGGCGAGUGGCGGACGGGUGAGGAAUACAUCGGAAUCUACUUUUUCGUGGGGGAUAACGUAGGGAAACUUACGCUAAUACCGCAUACGACCUACGGGUGAAAGCAGGGGAUCUUCGGACCUUGCGCGAUUGAAUGAGCCGAUGUCGGAUUAGCUAGUUGGCGGGGUAAAGGCCCACCAAGGCGACGAUCCGUAGCUGGUCUGAGAGGAUGAUCAGCCACACUGGUACUGAGACACGGUCCAGGCUCCUACGGGAGGCAGCAGUGGGGAAUAUUGGACAAUGGGCGCAAGCCUGAUCCAGCCAUACCGCGUGGGUGAAGAAGGCCUUCGGGUUGUAAAGCCCUUUUGUUGGGAAAGAAAAGCAGCAGGUUAAUACCCCGCUGUUCUGACGGUACCAAAAGAAUAAGCACCGGCUAACUUCGUG
rnacentral:rRNA from 1 species